rnacentral:rRNA from 1 species
ACUCCUACGGGAGGCAGCAGUGGGAAUAUUGCACAAUGGGGGAAACCCUGAUGCAGCGACGCCGCGUGAACGAAGAAGGUAUUCGUAUCGUAAAGUUCUGUCCUAUGGGAAGAUAAUGACAGUACCAUAGAAGAAAGCUCCGGCUAAAUACGUGCCAGCAGCCGCGGUAAUACGUAUGGAGCGAGCGUUGUCCGGAAUUAUUGGGCGUAAAGGGUACGCAGGCGGUUUAAUAAGUCGAAUGUUAAAGAUCGGGGCUCAACCCCGUAAAGCAAUUGGAAACUGAUAAACUUAGAGUAGUGGAGAGGAAAGUGGAAUUCCUAGUGUAGUGGUGAAAUACGUAGAUAUUAGGAGGAAAUACCAGUAGCGAAGGCGACUUUCUGGACACAAACUGACGCUGAGGUACGAAAGCGUGGGGAGCAAACAGGAUUAGAUACCCUGUAGGCUCU